rnacentral:rRNA from 1 species
AGAGUUUGAUCCUGGCUCAGGAUGAACGCUAGCGGCAGGCUUAAUACAUGCAAGUCGAGGGGCAGCGGAUUCCUUCGGGGAUGCCGGCGACCGGCGAACGGGUGAGUAACACGUAUGGAACCUACCUUUAACUGGGGAAUAGCCCCGAGAAAUCGGAGUUAAUACCCCAUAUAAUAAUGAAGGGACAUCCCUUUAUUAUGAAAGCUCCGGCGGUUAAAGAUGGCCAUGCGGUCCAUUAGCUUGUUGGUGAGAUAAAGGCUCACCAAGGCCACUAUGGAUAGCUGAUCUGAGAGGAUGAUCAGCCACAUUGGCACUGAGACACGGGCCAAACUCCUACGGGAGGCAGCAGUAGGGAAUCUUGGUCAAUAGGCGAAAGCCUGAACCAGCCAUGCCGCGUGCAGGAUGAAGGCCCUACGGGUCGUAAACUGCUUUUAUUCGGGAAGAAAAAGACUGUAUCCACAGUCCUUGACGGUACCGAAUGAAUAAGGACCGGCCAACUCCGUGCCAGCAGCCGCGGUAAUACGGAGGGUCCAAGCGUUAUCCGGAUUCACUGGGUUUAAAGGGUGCGCAGGCGGUCAGGUAAGUCAGUGGUGAAAGCCUUCGGCUCAACCGGAGAAUUGCCAUUGAAACUACUUGACUUGAGUGUAGUAGAGGUGGGCGGAAUGUAGCAUGUAGCGGUGAAAUGCAUAGAUAUGCUACAGAACACCGAUAGCGAAGGCAGCUCACCAUACUACGACUGACGCUGAGGCACGAAAGCAUGGGUAGCCAACAGGAUUAGAUACCC